GUCUGGGUGAAAUAAAUAUUAAGUCUGGCCUGCCCACUGAAAGUUUUAAAGGGCUGCGGUAAUUUGACCGUGCGAAGGUAGCAUAAUCAAUAGUCUUUUAAUUGAAGGCUUGAAUGAACGGUCUGACAAGAAAAUGACUGUCUUAGUAUCUUGGGGCGAAUUUAACAUUUGUGUGAAAAGGCACAAAUAAGCUGGUGGGACGAUAAGACCCUAUAAAAUUUAACAUUUAUGGUUUUUCUUAAGAUGUGAGGUAUAAGUUAAGCAAAAUUUCAAGUGUUUUGCUGGGGAGGCAAAGAUAAAAUUUGAGUAACUGUUUUAAAAAUUAAAUAAAAAUAUUUAGAUGCUGAUCCUUUAGUAGGGAUUAAAAGACUAAGUUACUUUAGGGAUAACAGCGUGAUUUCUCUUGAGAGUCCAUAUCGACAGAGUUAGUUGCGACCUCGAUGUUGAAUUAGAGCUUCCCUCAGGAGCAGAAGCUUGAGGUGGUAGGUCUGUUCGACCUUUAAUAGUUCUACAUGAUUUGAGU
rnacentral:rRNA from 1 species